AAGAGAUAUGAUGAUGUUUAACCCAUUAUUUCUGCAGUUAAAGUGAUGAUUACUUACAUGCACUACCAUCUGAUCUCUU